GUUUGGGUAGAGAGUUUGAACAGAUGCACUUUGGAAGAAGGCAGGGGAAGCUCCCAGAUUUUGGGCUGAGGGUCGGACCUGAGCAAAAGGAUUAAAAACCAACCAAUGAAACUGCGCCGGGGUCUCAGAGACCACCUGACCGAUGGGGAUGCUGACCACCGGAGACUCCACACAUUUGAUUUAAGUUCACAGGACAAACUGUCAAACUUUCAGACGGCAGUUAAGCGGAAUUGGUGAAACGUUCCUCGAUUGAAAGGUCUUAAACAGGAAAAGGACAAAGGAAAAUCGAAGAAAGGGGAAAGGCAAAAAGAAUAUGGAAAGAAAAUGGAAAGUGCAGGAGAGAGCGACUCCCGGCUUCUGCAGUGGAAGCGGAGGGGAAUGAUAAAGCAAAACUCUUUCACAGACCGAGCGUGGCGCGGCAGCACCUCGUCCCUCAAAACGGAAACGUUCUCCUCUCUCCUCUUUCGUCUGUGACCUCACUCAGCUAUCCCAACAAGAACUCAGAGAGUUUCAGGGAGAAGCGAGAGACGGAGCGUGCCUCUUACCCUCCUUUCCUCCCUCCCUCUCUCGUGUCUCUCUGCAAGGGCAUGGGGGGGGGCGGGAGGAGGAGCAAAGAAGAGGGGGCUCAGGGAGGAGGAAGGCUGUUUGGCGGUGCUUUUCUCAGUGGCUCCAGGACCAAGUUAACGUGGCCCAGGCCACAGGCAUGGCGUCCAUGAGGCCACGGAGACAGAAUUGCCAUGGCUAGCUCAGAAAGGACUGGUUCCAAUGUUUCACAAAAUGUUAGU